rnacentral:rRNA from 1 species
AGAUUGAACGCUGGCGGCAUGCCUUACACAUGCAAGUCGAACGGUAACGCGGGGGCAACCCUGGCGACGAGUGGCGAACGGGUGAGUAAUACAUCGGAACGUACCCAGUAGUGGGGGAUAGCUCGGCGAAAAGCCGGAUUAAUACCGCAUACGACCUAUGGGUGAAAGCGGGGGAUCGAAAGACCUCGCGCUAUUGGAGCGGCCGAUGUCGGAUUAGCUAGUUGGUGAGGUAAAGGCUCACCAAGGCUACGAUCCGUAGCUGGUCUGAGAGGACGACCAGCCACACUGGGACUGAGACACGGCCCAGACUCCUACGGGAGGCAGCAGUGGGGAAUUUUGGACAAUGGGCGAAAGCCUGAUCCAGCCAUGCCGCGUGUGUGAAGAAGGCCUUCGGGUUGUAAGCACUUUGUUCGGAACGAACGCCAAGGUCGAAUAAACCUUGGUAAUGACGGUACCGGAAGAAUAAGCACCGGCUAACUACGCGCCAGCAGCCGCGGU